rnacentral:rRNA from 1 species
UCCUGAUGGUGCAAGCGUGACUCGGAAUCACUGGGCGUAAAGGAUGCGUAGGCUGGAAAUCAAGUCGAGAGUGAAAUCCAACGGCUCAACCGUUGAACUGCUCUCGAAACUGGUUACCUAGAAUAUGGGAGAGGUAGAUGGAAUUAGUGGUGUAGGGGUAAAAUCCGUAGAUAUCACUAGGAAUACCGAUUGCGAAGGCGAUCUACUGGAACAGUAUUGACGCUGAGGCAUGCAAGCGGGGGGCGCACACAGGCGGCGAUCACCGCGUAGUCC